rnacentral:rRNA from 1 species
GACGAACGCUGGCGGCGUGCUUAACACAUGCAAGUCGAGCGGUAAGGCCCUUUCGGGGGUACACGAGCGGCGAACGGGUGAGUAACACGUGGGUGACCUGCCCUCAGCUCUGGGAUAAGCCUGGGAAACCGGGUCUAAUACCGGAUAUGACUCCAUGACGCAUGUUGUGGGGUGGAAAGCCUUGUGCGGCUGAGGAUGGGCCCGCGGCCUAUCAGCUUGUUGGUGGGGGAUGGCCUACCAAGGCGACGACGGGUAGCCGGCCUGAGAGGGCGACCGGCCACACUGGGACUGAGACACGGCCCAGACUCCUACGGGAGGCAGCAGUGGGGAAUCUUGCGCAAUGGGCGAAAGCCUGACGCAGCGACGCCGCGUGAGGGAUGACGGCCUGGU